rnacentral:rRNA from 1 species
UUCGCAAUGCCCGAAAGGGUGACGAAGCGACGCCGCGUGGGUGAGGAAGGCCUUCGGGUUGUAAAGCCCUGUCAGGAGUUAAGAAAUGUAGACUCGCUAAUAUCGGGUCUAUUUGACAAAGGCUCCAAAGGAAGCCACGGCUAACUCUGUGCCAGCAGCCGCGGUAAUACAGAGGUGGCAAGCGUUGUUCGGAAUUAUUGGGCGUAAAGAGCACGUAGGUGGAUUUGUAAGUCAGACGUGAAAGCCUUCUGUUCAACGGAAGAAUUGCAUCUGAAACUACAAACCUUGAGUGUAGGAGGGGAGAAUGGAACUUCUGGUGGAGCGGUGAAGUGCGUAGAUAUCAGAAGGAACGCCGGCGGCGAAAGCGAUUCUCUGGCCUAUUACUGACACUCAGUGUGCGAAAGCUAGGGGAGCAAACGGGAUUAGAUACCCCGGUAGUCCUAGCCGUAAACGAUGGGCACUAAGUAGAGGGGUUUU